rnacentral:rRNA from 1 species
AUUGAACGCUGGCGGCAUGCCUUACACAUGCAAGUCGAACGGCAGCACGGGUGCUUGCACCUGGUGGCGAGUGGCGAACGGGUGAGUAAUACAUCGGAACAUGUCCUGUAGUGGGGGAUAGCCCGGCGAAAGCCGGAUUAAUACCGCAUACGAUCUACGGAUGAAAGCGGGGGACCUUCGGGCCUCGCGCUAUAGGGUUGGCCGAUGGCUGAUUAGCUAGUUGGUGGGGUAAAGGCCUACCAAGGCGACGAUCAGUAGCUGGUCUGAGAGGACGACCAGCCACACUGGGACUGAGACACGGCCCAGACUCCUACGGGAGGCAGCAGUGGGGAAUUUUGGACAAUGGGCGAGAGCCUGAUCCAGCAAUGCCGCGUGUGUGAAGAAGGCCUUCGGGUUGUAAAGCACUUUUGUCCGGAAAGAAAUACUUGGCCCUAAUACGGUCGGGGGAUGACGGUACCGGAAGAAUAAGCACCGGCUAACUACGUG